rnacentral:lncRNA from 1 species
AGAUUUCUCCCUCCCCUCUCUCCUGCGUUUUAAGCAAAGAGACAUCCUAAAAUAGGGCAUUUUUUUCCUCUUCCUUUUUUUUUUGACAGACAACUUCUGUGUAAAUGUUGAAAUCUGUGUUGUCUGUUAGAAGCAGUCAAUCUGAAAACUUUGCUGAAGAGAAUGUAUAUUUAGUAACGGGUGACAAAGAGAGGAAGAUAUUGAGAUGUCAAUUAUUCUGUGUACCAGUGCUUGUGCUUAGCCCUGGGAAUACACAGACAAACAAAGCGAGCUUGUGCCGGAGCUGGAGGAAGGACACAGAGAGCGAUCGCAUCCCGACAGAGAAGUGAGGGGUGAGAGGCAAUACCACAAAGGUACUGAGGACAAUUCCCAGCAACGAGCAUGACAUCAGCGCAUCUUAACCACUGACUUUCUUGUUGCUAUGACACGACUGGUAAGUGACAAGGGCAAGGAUCCCUCUUGGGUCCUCCUAGAAGCCAUGCAUGUUUCAUCAUUUCCCACUAGGUACUCUGAAACUCCAACCUUUGGGAAGAGGAUGAUAUUAUCUAAUAAACAUCAAGCCAAGGCUUACA